rnacentral:sRNA from 1 species
AUUAGCAGCGGACAGGACCAAGGCCCAUGAUGUCCCAUCACUCUGAAGAGCCUUGAGUCCCUGACUCAGUUCCCACUUCCUCCUUACACGUGCACAGUGCCCACUCCAGGCCUCGGGCAGUGCCCCUCGUUCCUGGCAGAGGGGAGUGUUCACACCACAAGGGUGGGGUCUGGAGCAGUCAGGGAGGUGCAUGCACCAGCAGCAGUGAGGAGGGGGCCGCAGAAGGUUCCUGCCUGCUCCUGACAUCCCAGGGUGUUGUCAUCACUGGGGGAAUAGGAUGGGGAGUGGUGCUGCCAAUGCUGGGCACUGACCAAGCAGGGCAGGUGCUUUUCCCACUGCAUGCCCCACAGCACCCACCAUCCUCAGGUCUCCCCAAGAGCCUGACCACCUCCCCUGCUGAGCUCCCCCUUGCAGCACUUGUCUUAGAGCUGCUGUGAGCUCUGGGAGCGGGGGCAGUGAGGGUGGGGAGAGAGGAGCAGGUGCAUGGUGGUGACACCAUGUCCCCCAAAGAAGUCUGCAGGGUGGACCCACAAGCCUUUGUUCCCCUCCAUAGCCUGUGGUCAUAGAAGGGGCUACAGCUCACGCAUCGUGGGUGGAAACAUGUCCUUGCUCUCGCAGUGGCCCUGGCAGGCCAGCCUUCAGUUCCAGGGCUACCACCUGUGCGGGGGCUCUGUCAUCACGCCCCUGUGGAUCGUCACCGCUGCACACUGUGUUUACGAGUGAGUGCUGCUGACCAUCUUCCCAGACCCCUGUUCACUCCUGGGUCAUGUCAGGGUGGGGCUGCUUUGGGUGGUGAGAAGCGGGUCCAGAGGGAAGACAGAGAGACCAACCUCCAAGUAAUGUACAGUUGGAGAGGAGUCUCCAGCCUCACUGUGGACCCAUCAUCAUCGGCUGGGGGUAACUCCUGACCCUGAGCUUGUUUUAAGGAUUGUAGCUCCUAGAAAAAGGGCAGACAGAAGAGGAAGGAAGCUCCUGUGCUGGAGGAAACCCACAAAAAUGAAAGGACCUAGAUCUUCCCAUAGCUAAUUCCAGUGGACCAUGUUAUGGCAGAGACAGGGUGAGAUGGUGGUGCGGGAGGCUAGAGGGAAUAUGUUGCGGGUCAGGUACUGGGUCUCUUCUUAAAAUCUCAGGAGCUUAGAGUGCAAGAAAACUACAGAAAAGACUUCCAAACACAAUGGUUCUCCCUGAUAUUUUUACCCCCUAUUUUGUUGCUGUUUGAUGAAGAAUGGUCCCUGAUAGACUCCUUGCAGUGACCAACGUUGAGUUCAGCCCUCAAAUGCCAAGACAACCUCAGAGGUGCUGAGAGUGAGGCCUGUCUGGGAAACACAUGGGGUGUGGGUCUGUGUUUCUGUAGGGUGUGGCAGUGCAGUUGCAUAUACAGCAUAAACAAGCAGGGUGAUGGGACCACAUCUUGCCUGAUAACCUCUCCCACCAUCUUCCUAGGUUUUCAGGAUACCUGAGGUCAAUGAGUUCAGUGGUUGGACUUUUCCUGUGCUUCACCUCUUGCUCUUCUCAUUUCAGCUUGUACCUCCCCAAGUCAUGGACCAUCCAGGUGGGUCUAGUUUCCCUGCUGGACAAUCCAGCCCCAUCCCACUUGGUGGAGAAGAUUGUCUACCACAGCAAGUACAAGCCAAAGAGGCUGGGCAAUGACAUCGCCCUCAUGAAGCUGGCCGGGCCGCUCACGUUCAAUGAAAUGAUCCAGCCUGUGUGCCUGCCCAACUCUGAAGAGAACUUCCCCGAUGGAAAAGUGUGCUGGACGUCAGGAUGGGGGGCCACAGAGGAUGGAGGUGACGCCUCCCCUGUCCUGAACCACGCGGCCGUCCCUUUGAUUUCCAACAAGAUCUGCAACCACAGGGACGUGUACGGUGGCAUCAUCUCCCCCUCCAUGCUCUGCGCGGGCUACCUGAAGGGUGGCGUGGACAGCUGCCAGGGGGACAGCGGGGGGCCCCUGGUGUGUCAAGAGAGGAGGCUGUGGAAGUUAGUGGGAGCGACCAGCUUUGGCAUCGGCUGCGCAGAGGUGAACAAGCCUGGGGUGUACACCCGUGUCACCUCCUUCCUGGACUGGAUCCACGAGCAGAUGGAGAGAGACCUAAAAACCUGAAGAGGAAGGGGACAAGCAGCCACCUGAGUUCCUGAGGUGAUGAAGACAGCCCGAUCCUCCCCUGGCCUCCCGUGUAGGAACCUGCACAUGAGCAGACACCCUCGGAGCUCUGAGUUCCGGCACCAGCAGCAGGCCCGAAAGAGGCACCCUUCCAUCUGAUUCCAGCACAACCUUCAAGCUGCUUUUUGUUUUUUGUGUUUUUGAGAUGGAGUCUCGCUCUGUUGCCCAGGCUGGAGUGCAGUGGCGAAAUCCCUGCUCACUGCAGCCUCCGCUUCCCUGGUUCAAGCGAUUCUCCUGCCUCAGCUUCCCCAGUAGCUGGGACCACAGGCGCCCGCCACCAUGCCCAACUAAUUUUUGUAUUUUUAGUAGAGACAGGGUUUCACCAUGUUGGCCAGGCUUCUCUCAAACUCCUGACCUCAAAUGAUGUGCCUGCUUCAGCCUCCCACAGUGCUGGGAUUACAGGCAUGGGCCACCACGCCUAGCCUCACGCUCCUUUCUGAUCUUCACUAAGAACAAAAGAAGCAGCAACUUGCAAGGGCGGCCUUUCCCACGGGUCCAUCUGGUUUUCUCUCCAGGGGUCUUGCAAAAUUCCUGACGAGAUAAGCAGUUAUGUGACCUCACGUGCAAAGCCACCAACAGCCACUCAGGAAAGACGCACCAGCCCAGAAGUGCAGAACUGCAGUCACUGCACGUUUUCAUCUCUAGGGACCAGAACCAAACCCACCCUUUCUACUUCCAAGACUUAUUUUCACAUGUGGGGAGGUUAAUCUAGGAAUGACUCGUUUAAGGCCUAUUUUCAUGAUUUCUUUGUAGCAUUUGGUGCUUGACGUAUUAUUGUCCUUUGAUUCCAAAUAAUAUGUUUCCUUCCCUCA